rnacentral:rRNA from 1 species
GACGAACGCUGGCGGCGUGCCUAAUACAUGCAAGUUGAGCGCUGAAGGUUGGUACUUGUCCCCACUGGAUGAGCAGCGAACGGGUGAGUAACGCGUGGGGAAUCUGCCUUUGAGCGGGGGACAACAUUUGGAAACGAAUGCUAAUACCGCAUAAAAACUUUAAACACAAGUUUUAAGUUUGAAAGAUGCAAUUGCAUCACUCAAAGAUGAUCCCGCGUUGUAUUAGCUAGUUGGUGAGGUAAAGGCUCACCAAGGCGAUGAUACAUAGCCGACCUGAGAGGGUGAGUGGCCAACAUGGGACGGGGACACGGCCCAAACUCCUACGGGAGGCAGCAGGAGGGAAUCGUCGGCAAUGGACGAAAGUCUGACCGAGCAACGCCGCGUGAGUGAAGAAGGUUUUCGGAUCGUAAAACUCUGUUGGUAGAGAAGAACGUUGGUGAGAGUGGAAAGCUCAGCAAGUGACGGUAACUACCCAGAAAGGGACGGCUAACUACGUG